AGAGAGAGACAUGCGCGCAUAUCAAUAAGCGGAGGAAAAGAAACUAACAAGGAUUCCCCUAGUAACGGCGAGUGAAGCGGGAAGAGCUCAAAUUUGAAAUCUUAAAGGGUUUCCCUUUACGAAUUGUAGUUUAAAGAAGUGUUUUCUGUUGAGGUUUUGGUAAAAGUUCUUUGGAAUAGGACAUCAUAGAGGGUGAGAAUCCCGUAUUUGACCUUUACUUUCAACUUUGUGAUAUACUUUCAAAGAGUCGGAUUGUUUGGGAAUGCAGUCCAAAAUGGGUGGUAAAUUUCAUCUAAAGCUAAAUAUUGGCGAGAGACCGAUAGCGAACAAGUACCGUGAGGGAAAGAUGAAAAGAACUUUGAAAAGAGAGUUAAACAGUACGUGAAAUUGUCAAAAGGGAAGCGUUUGGCACCAGUGUUGUUUUUCUGAAAAUCAAUUAAAGAACUGUUUAUGCUAAGCUGUUUAGACUUUAUCAGCUAUACUGUUUAGUUUUGAGCUUUUCUUUAAUGCACUUUUCAGUUAACAAGUCAACAUCAAUUUCUUUUGCUGUAAAAAAGCUUGAGGAAGGUGGCUUGAGAUUCGUCUUAAGUGUUUAUAGCCUCUUGCCUAUGCAGUCGGAGAGAUUGAGGUCUGCAGCGUAGAUCCUUCGGGGCUAAAUGCAUUUGUGCUAAGUUAUAGCAUUUUAUAGACAACUUGUUGACUAUGAUUUGUCUUGUAGCUUACUCGCUUAUGUUAUUUUACCUACGCUUAGGAUGUUGACGCAUGAGAUAUACGC
rnacentral:rRNA from 1 species